GAUGAAACAAACCCUUCCCUCCAGCAAGUUGCUGCUGGUCAGCGUUUAUCGCAACAGAAGGCAGACUAGAACAGAGGCUCAUGUGGCAGGAUCAUGAAAUAAAAGGCUGCCAGGGCUCCAGAGUGAGUUCAAGUUCAUCCUGGGCGGCGAAACAAGAUCCUGUCUCAAAAGAAAAGGAGAGCUGGGAUUCCGGCCAGUGGUGGUGCGCUUGCCCAGCAUGUGUGAGGCCCCAGUUAAUGAGAAAAGGAGACAUUUCAGAAAGUGAUCCAUGGACUCUGUGAAAGAAAGCGGAUCAGCCAAGCAGGAAAGAUACGUCUUAGAGGGGCUUCUUGUACACUGAAGGAUUUUGGAAGGGAGUCUUGAAGCCAAUCCUGCAGAUCCUUGAGGUCUUCUGUAGUCCCAGAAUUCAGCAUUGUCACUAUAAACAGCUGGCGUGUGAUAAUCCUUACCUAGUUGAACUAAGCUUCACUGAAGAUGAAAACAUUCUUGGGCGUCUGUGUUAUGUGAAGACUGAUCUGCAAUCAAGUUGCUGAAGAAUGCUACCUAGCAAGAGUAACAAUGGCUGACACACCCUUUGUGGGAUAAUUCCCUGAGUAGUAAUGAAUAUGAGGAGAGAUGCGGAACUUAUGGGUGGUAGUUUGUGAGAUCCAUGAAUGCUUUUCAGGAAAGAGCAAUGAACCUCUGAAAGCUACAGUGCUAUUGUUAGAGUUGGAAGAAUAUUAAAGCCUUUAUCCCAAUUC